GGAAUGCAUCGUCUAUGAAAGACGUUAUGAGUUUUGGAAGGAGGGAAAGCUAAGUCCAAGGUUCAUUGUCUCAGUUGUUGUUUUGCAACAUGUAGGUGAGAAGCUAGGUGAUUCGAUUUUGCUUCUUGGUUUGGCAAUUAUGCAUCUGGAGUUUCAGGUUCUAAUGUUGAAAGAAGAUUAUUCUAGUGUGGAUGAGGCCAUUUGGGAGGUUGAGACAGUCAUUUAGAGUAGAUAUCCUCAGUUUUUCGACACUUCAGGUCCACGACAUGUGUGCUAAAGUCGGAGUAGAUCCUUUAGCAUCAAACAAAGGUUUCUGGGCAGAACUGUUGGCAAUUGGUAACUUCUAUUAUGAAGUUG